GUAGGUGAACCUGCGGAAGGAUCAUUCACGUAUCCAACGUUAAACCCCCCUGUGAACUUUCAGCCUGCCCUUGUCUUGUAGGGUUAAGCAGGGAGAAACAGUUCUGAUUCGAGACCUCUGCAUCCUGUGGGUGAUUGAAGCGGUAGAAGCAGUGGCAUGGCGUCCCAAGCCUCCAGUGAAUGACAGCGUCACUGGAACAAGUGAGGGAUAACGCUUAUUCGGUUGCUAGAGGUCGCUCACCGACCGGCAGACAUGUCACAGGGCCUUGCGCCCCCUAAAUACCCCUUUGCCAAUGCACCAGCCCGGGGCGAAAGUCCGAGGCAUUAAAACCGAACAACUGUUAACAAUGGAUAUCUUGGUUCUC
rnacentral:misc_RNA from 1 species